rnacentral:sRNA from 12 species
GACCUACCCUUCAAUCUUCCUGAUUGUGGCAAGGUCGAAAAUUCCCUUCGCAGACACUGAACCCCGCGUUCAGCAGCUCUGCGAAGGGUCAUGUCUCGAAAGGGACAUGGGAGAGGCCGCAAGGUUUCUCU